GGCAAAUGGCUGGAUGUAUAAAUCUCUUUUAGACGCUCUCACAGCACAGGGACCCUACCCUACUUACUACUGCAUGCAACUAAAAGAACAACAAGAAGACAUACAGAAACAUCAACAAUCCAGGAAGGUCCUCAUUUUAUAAGGCUUUAAAAGAAAUUAAAACAAAAGGUUUCGUUUUCACUUGGGAGCAACAGAUGUCACAGGAAAAAGGACCCCCUUGUUAAGGAGAUGUAUCUCAAAAGUUCAAUCCCGGAUAAAUUACAUGUUUUUAAUAUAUAUAAAUGCAUGUCUACAGGCCUUCCGUGAAUAAUGAAGACUUCAACUCGUGGAAACAUGGUAGACAGGCCCACCGC